UAGGGAAUCUUCCACAAUGGACGCAAGUCUGAUGGAGCAACGCCGCGUGAGUGAAGAAGGUUUUCGGACCGUAAAGCUCUGUUGUUGGUGAAGAAGGAUAGAGGUAGUAACUGGCCUUUAUUUGACGGUAAUCAACCAGAAAGUCACGGCUAACUACGUGCCAGCAGCCGCGGUAAUACGUAGGUGGCAAGCGUUGUCCGGAUUUAUUGGGCGUAAAGCGAGCGCAGGCGGAAGAAUAAGUCUGAUGUGAAAGCCCUCGGCUUAACCGAGGAAUUGCAUCGGAAACUGUUUUUCUUGAGUGCAGAAGAGGAGAGUAGA
rnacentral:rRNA from 1 species